rnacentral:sRNA from 1 species
CGCGGCAACUGCGGGGAGAGAUGACUGGGGAGCAACCCAGCACGGCGCUCCCGGGCAGACGCUGGGGGCCGCGGAUUCUGGGCUUCUGGGGAGGCUGUAGGGUUCGGGUGUUUGCCGCGAUCUUCCUGCUGCUGUCUCUGGCAGCCUCCUGGUCUAAGGCUGAGAACGACUUCGGUCUGGUGCAGCCGCUGGUGACCAUGGAGCAACUGCUGUGGGUGAGCGGGAGACAGAUCGGCUCAGUGGACACCUUCCGCAUCCCGCUCAUCACAGCCACUCCGCGGGGCACUCUUCUCGCCUUUGCUGAGGCGAGGAAAAUGUCCUCAUCCGAUGAGGGGGCCAAGUUCAUCGCCCUGCGGAGGUCCAUGGACCAGGGUAUAAAGAUGCUUGGGUGAAAAAGCCGGUGCUAGGUUGGAUGGGUGGGCAGCCCAAUGAGCCCAAGGGCCCUGAGGAUAGGGGAACUUAGAGGGUUGGUUGCCGAAGUCCCUGAGGGGUAGGGGGAACCUGAGAAGGGCAAGUGUCUAGGACAGUGAUCUGGAAAUUGGGAUCACCAAGGAGUUGGACAUUCACUUAGCAAACAUUUAUUGGGUACUAUAUACCUAUACCAGGCACUAUUUCAGGUUUCAUGAAUAUAGCCACGAACAAAACAGACCAAAAAUCUCUGCCCUCACAGGAUUUAAAUUGUACUGGAAGGAGACAGACAAGCAUAAUAAACAAGUAAACUUUUUUGUCUGUUGCAAGGUGAUAAAUGCAAUGGAGAAAAGUAAAACAGGACAAGAGGUAUACAUAGUGCAAGUGUUGGAUUGCACCCUGGGACCAUGGGAAGGCCUGGGGUCCCUAGCAGGAGGUGGGAAAUUAACGGGAAGUCGUAGAAAGGGUACCUGCACAGUGCUCACUCUGGGUUUCUUCCUCCAAUUUUUUUCAGGCAGCACAUGGUCUCCUACAGCAUUCAUUGUCAAUGACGGGGAUGUCCCCGAUGGGCUGAACCUUGGGGCGGUAGUGAGCGAUGUUGAGACAGGAGUGGUAUUUCUUUUCUACUCCCUUUGUGCUCACAAGGCCGGCUGCCAGGUGGCCUCUACCAUGUUGGUAUGGAGCAAGGAUGAUGGUGUUUCCUGGAGCACACCCCGGAAUCUCUCCCUGGAUAUUGGCACUGAAGUGUUUGCCCCUGGGCCGGGCUCUGGUAUUCAGGUCUCUGUCCUAGGAGAUAGGUGGAGGGGGCUGCCUUGUGGAGAGUCUGAGGGAUACCCCCAAAUGGACUCCUUUCCAAGGGGAAGAUUCUCUGAAGUCAGAUUUUCUGGCUUGGGUGGGAUUCCUUGAAAGACAGGGCAUCCUGGUAGGAACACAUUAUCAGGAGAAGAGGGAACUUUGCCAUUGGCUUCCCAUUUAGCAUUGUCAACAGGACUGUGUUAGUUCAUGAAAUACCCUCAUGCAAAGUAGAAAAAGGCACUUCCUCUUUGGACAGACACAACCCUGUGCCAGGGUGCACAGCUUGGCGAGUGAGCACAGGUUGGGUUUAAGCUCUCAUGCACCCUGUGGCUGGGCCCCUGGUGCACAUGUCCAGCUGUACACCCUGGGAGAGCUUAAUUCAAACAGGGUGUGUGUUUAUGAGAUCUGACUGGAACCGUCAGUGAGCAAGGGCUGAACUGAAGGGGACCAUACAUGUGAUUGCAUUUGGCAAGUGGUGGGUUCUCUGUCCCUGCCUCUGAGCCCCUACAGUCUCCUUCUGUGACACCCAGUUCCCUUUCCCACAGAAACAGCGGGAGCCACGGAAGGGCCGCCUCAUCGUGUGUGGCCAUGGGACGCUGGAGCGGGACGGAGUCUUCUGUCUCCUCAGCGAUGAUCAUGGUGCCUCCUGGCGCUACGGAAGUGGGGUCAGCGGCAUCCCGUACGGUCAGCCCAAGCACGAAAAUGAUUUCAAUCCUGAUGAAUGCCAGGUCAGGAGUCCGUGAGAUGUUCCCUACCCAUUUGACCCUCCCUGCCCUCCAGAACAUCAUUUCACACAUAGACCCAGGCUCUGACUGCUCAGCUCAGUGCCACACACCCUGGCUCCCCUCAGGGACAGGGCAUUUUCCCCGUUCCCUCCCUGAGCUCCUGCCCUCUCCCCUCAGCCGUAUGAGCUCCCAGAUGGCUCAGUCGUCAUCAAUGCCCGAAACCAGAACAACUACCACUGCCACUGCCGAAUUGUCCUCCGCAGCUAUGAUGCCUGUGAUACACUAAGGCCCCGUGAUGUGACCUUCGACCCUGAGCUCGUGGACCCUGUGGUAGCUGCAGGAGCUGUAGUCACCAGCUCUGGCAUUGUCUUUUUCUCCAACCCAGCACAUCCAGAGUUCCGAGUGAACCUGACCCUGCGAUGGAGCUUCAGCAAUGGUACCUCAUGGCGGAAAGAGACAGUCCAGCUAUGGCCAGGCCCCAGUGGCUAUUCAUCCCUGGCAACCCUGGAGGGCAGCAUGGAUGGAGAAGAGCAGGCCCCCCAGCUCUACGUCCUGUAUGAGAAAGGCCGGAACCACUACACAGAGAGCAUCUCCAUGGCCAAAAUCAGUGUCUAUGGGACGCUCUGAGCUGUGCCACUGCCACAGGGGUAUUAGGCCCAGGACUCUGCCUCCAGGAACACGGGUCUGUAGAGGGUCUGCUGGAGACGCCUGAAAGACAGUUCCAUCUUCCUUUAGACUCCAGCCUUGGCAAAAUCACCUUUCCUUUACCAGGGAAAUCACUUCCUUUAGGACUGAAAGCCAGGCGUCCUCUCCCACAGAAAAGUCCUGCCCUCAUCCGAGAAUACUGUCUUCCCAUAUGGGUAAGUGUGGCCCCACCACCCUCUCUGCCCUCCCGGGACAUUGAUUGGUCCUGUCUUGGGCAGGGCUAGUGAGCUGUAGAAUUGAAUCAAUGUGAACUCAGGGAACUGGGGAAGGCUGAGCCUCCUCUUUGGUGUUGGGUAAGAUAACCGACAGGGCUGGUGAAAGUCCCCAGAUGGCAGGAUAUUUGGUUUCAGAGUAAGGACUAGGUGCACCACCACGACUGACUAUUUAUCAAUCAAAAUGUUUGUAACUUAAAAUUUUUAAUGAAGGAUAAUGAAUAUUUGUAGAGUCUCUAUGGUUCUGUCAAUACACAUCUUCAUGUCUGUUUUCCUCAUGUAUCCCUGUGAGCCUGGGUGAGUUCUGGGGAGAAACCUGAUGUGCAUAUUGCCUGUGAAAAUCUGACUUUGGCAAAUCAAAUCCUCUUUUCCUUUUGACAUUCCCUCUUUUUUUGUUGUUGCUCUUUUUGAGACAGGGCUCACUCUGUCACCCAGGCUGGAGUGCAGUUGCACAAUCAUGGCUCACUAAAACCUCAAUCUCCUGGGCUCAAGUGAUUCUCACAUCUCAGCCUCCAGAGUAGUUGGGACUACAGGUCGGUGACACCAUGCCUGGUUAAUUUUUUUUAUUUUUAUUUUCAGUAGAGACAAGGUUGCACUAUGUUGCCCAGGCUGGUAUGGAACUCCUGUGCUUAAGCAAUCCUCAUCCCUCAGCUUCCCAAAGUGCUGAGGUUACAGCUAUGAGCCACCACACCCAGCCUACAUUCCUUCUUAUCACCGAGAAACAGGUUGAUCUUCACAGGUGUAAUGAGUAUGAAGGGAGCGCCAUAAGAUUUUUUAUUUAUUUAUUUUUUAAUUUAAUUUAAUUUUUUUUUUUGAGAUAGAGUCUUGCUCUGUCACCCAGGCUAGAGUGCAGUGGUGCGAUCUCGGCUCACUGCAACCUCUGCCUCCCAGGUUCAAGCAAUUCUCCUGCCUCAGCUUCCCGAGUAGCUGGGAUUACAGGUGCCCGCCACCACGCCCGGCUAAUUUUUGUAUUUUUAGUAGAGACGGGGUUUCACCAUGUUGGCCAGGCUGGUCUCAAACUCCUGGCCUCAGGUGAUCCACCCGCCUCGGCCUCUCAAAGCAUUGGGAUUACAAGCAUGAGCCAUGGUGCCGGCGGGCUGAUUUUUUAAAUUUUUAGUAGAGACAAAGUCUCACUAUAUUGCCUAGGUUGGUCUCAAACUGCUGAGCUCAAGCAAUCCGCCGGCCAUAUUCUCUCAAAGUGCUGGGAUUACAGGCUUGAGCCACUGCACCCAGCCUAUAAGAUAUUUUAAAAUCCACACUUAGCCAAGCGUGGUGGCUCACACAUAUAGUCCAGCACUUUGGGAGGCCGAGGUGGGCAGAUCACAAGGUCAGGAGUUCGAGACGAGCCUGGCCAAUAUGGUGAAAUCCCGUCUCUACUAAAAAUACAAAAACUAGCCAGGCGUGUUUGCUUGCACCUAUAGUCCCAGCUACUCAGGUGGCUGAGGCAGGAGAAUCGCUUGAACCAGGAGGCGGAGUUUGCAGUGAGCUGAGAUCACACCACUGCACACCAGCCUCGGCAACAGAGUGAGACUCUGUCUGAAAAAAAAUCCACGCUGUUUUAUAUUUCUAACAGGGGGUAGGAUACUAUCCUCCAUGAAAUAGGGUGCAAGUGUGUGAAAUGCAGAUGGGAAUCCUGUCCCGGCUAGCCUGACAGGGAAGUGAGCACUUCCUAUGGCAAAUUAUGUAAAAAAUUUUCCCCAGGCCGAUGCUUAUGAAAAGAAUCUGGGCAGCCUGCAGGUAAGUGGGAGAGCCCUUGCUU